GGGGGGGGGGGGGGGGGGGCGGGGGGCGGGCGGGGCGGGGGGGGGGGGGGGGCGUGGGUGGGGGGCUGGGGGGGCGAGGGGGUGAGUGACACGUGAGUAACCUGCCCUUGCCUGUGGGAUAACUUCAGGAAGCUGGGGCGAAUACCGGAUAGGAGCUCCUGCUGCAUGGGGGGGGUUGGAACGUUUCGGCGGGUGGGGAUGGACUCGCGGCUUAUCAGCUUGUUGGUGGGGUAGUGGCUUACCAAGGCUUUGACGGGUAGCCGGCCUGAGAGGGUGACCGGCCACAUGGGGACUGAGAUACGGCCCAGACUCCUACGGGAGGCAGCAGUGGGGAAUAUUGCACAAUGGGCGGAAGCCUGAUGCAGCAACGCCGCGUGCGGGAUGACGGCCUUCGGGUUGUAAACCGCUUUCGCCUGUGACGAAGCGUGAGUGACGGUAAUGGGUAAAGAAGCACCGGCUAACUACGUG
rnacentral:rRNA from 1 species